GACCUACUGUUAAACAAUUAUGGUUCCAAUUUCAUCAUCAAUUAAGUUAUAGCAACGCAACACUUGAGCGAUCCGCCUAGGGGGAUGCCUUCCGGGAGGUCUUUUUAAGGGAAACUGGCCCCUAUCUAGGCAUUACAGACGUAGAGAAAACCCAAAAUACUCUACUUGGCCAGCGUGUUCCGAGCAAGGCGCGAACCCAUUACCGAACUCCCAGUAUUUAGGAUACGAAGACCGCUUGGCCACUGGUGGGCCGGAACCAUAGCACGCUUGCUCAUAGGAGCAGAGAUUGUACUCAUAGGCAAGUUGCUCAUGUCACCACUUGAGGAAGAGGAAAGGGUAAUGAAACAUGUAGACAACACCACUGUGUUCUAGAAAAUUGUUCACAAGGAAGACCAGAUACCGAUGGUCAGGAAUUUGGCUUUAAUGGGACACGGGGCAUAUUGCAUCUGUAAACAGACCAGAAAGGAGAAGUCAGCAAAAUGUUCUUCAAGAGAAUGCUAGUCCUUGAAGACAUGCAAAACAUUACACAAAAGAAGUGUUCCCAGCAAGUGCACUUCACCCAUGCAUUAGUGACCCAACAUUGAAUAUGAUAAAGAAAUAUACUGAAACAGAAAUCAGCAUUGUAUGCAAUGAUAAUUCAUGGAAUUUGAGCUUAGAAAGGUUUGAAGCCUAAUAAACGUUUCCAACUUCCAAAGGCUCCUUAAUGUCAAAUUGAAGAAAUUGCAUGAUUUCUAAAAUCUAUUUUUUGCUAUUCUUUGAGUGGAAAAGGAAGGAUCCCACUCCCUAUUCCACAAAUCUCUCAAAUAUUUCACAAAGUGCACCUCAAGUAUAAAAUUCAACUUAUUGCUGUAUUUUGUGUGUGUGCAAAAAUUUUCAAGUAAAUUUUGAGUCCUGAAAAUAGCUUUCUGGAUGGCAGUGAUGAUGAAUUUCUUGCAAAUGAAAUAAUCAUACCCAUAUUAAUCUGAUCUUCACCAGUCCUCUGCUAAUUUACUUAUUUUGUAUUUAUCUUUUGCUAUUUACAUUAGUAGUGAAUGGUUGUAACUGAUUUUAUAUUUGUAUCUUGAAAUUACUACAACAUUAUUUUUAAAAGAUUUAUUAGAAGUACUGUCUUAAACACUAGAAUGAAAUAGCCAUUGUUUUAUCAAUGUAACUUCAUUAAACAAUACUGAAAAUGUAAUUUUUACAUUUUCUGAUAAAAUUGAUAUUUUUUAAAAAUUUAUUUACCCUAUAAAAUAUCUUUCUGCUAAAAUUUACAGUAAUAAUAGUUUUAUA